rnacentral:rRNA from 1 species
AGAGUUUGAUUCUGGCUCAGGAUGAACGCUAGCGGCAGGCUUAACACAUGCAAGUCGGGCGGCAGCGGGGUGGGAGCUUGCUCCCACUGCCGGCGAGCGGCGCACGGGUGAGUAACACGUAUGCAACCUGCCCCUGUCAGGGGGACAACCCGCCGAAAGGCGGGCUAAGCCCGCGUAUAUCGCCCCGGGGCAUCCCGGGGGGAGGAAAGGAGCGAUCCGGACAGGGAUGGGCAUGCGGCGCAUUAGCUGGUCGGCGGGGUAACGGCCCACCGAGGCGACGAUGCGUAGGGGUUCUGAGAGGAAGGCCCCCCACACUGGUACUGAGACACGGACCAGACUCCUACGGGAGGCAGCAGUGAGGAAUAUUGGUCAAUGGGCGGGAGCCUGAACCAGCCAAGCCGCGUGAGGGAAGAAGGUACAGCGUAUCGUAAACCUCUUUUGUCAGGGAACAAAGGCGGGGACUAGUCCCCGGAUGAGGGUACCUGAAGAAAAAGCAUCGGCUAACUCCGUGCCAGCAGCCGCGGUAAUACGGAGGAUGCGAGCGUUAUCCGGAUUUAUUGGGUUUAAAGGGUGCG